GCCUCGUUAGCUCAGAUGGUAGAGCUGCGGACUUUUAAUCCGUAGGUCGGGGGUUCGAGACCCUCACGGGGCA
rnacentral:tRNA from 1 species